CCCCCUCCUACCCGGACUCCGGGGGCACCGCCGGGGGACAGACACCCAGCAGGUUCCCCCAGGCACCAUGCCAGCCCCGUAGAACCACCCACCCCACCCACUGUGGUCUGCUGCACCCCAUUGCUGGGGCACUGGUUCCAAUGAGACAGGGCACACCAAACUCCAUCUGGCUGUUACUGAGGCGGAGACACGGGUGAUGAUUGGCUUUCUGGGGAGAGAGCAAGUCCUGUGAUUGGCCGGGUCUCCGGAGCUCACCGACGCCGGGAGAGGACGCUCCCACGGAGGCCGGGUAAGCGGCCGCGGCGUUUUAGCUCGGCCCCGGUGGCUCCCGGCUGGAAGCCUGG
rnacentral:lncRNA from 1 species